AGGAUCCUUAACCCACUGAGUGAGGUUGGGGAUCGAACCUGCAUCCUCGUGGUUCCUACUAGGAUUCCUUUCUGCUGCUCUACGAUGGGAACUCCCAAGAAUACUAUAAAAUUGAGUAGAUCCCCAAGAUACUCACGAUUCCAUGACGAGGAUGUCUGGGAGCCACAGGUUCUCAACCAAUACACUGAGUUUAUUGCUGCUGAUGCACUCUUCUGGGUUCCAGCUGAUGAAAGGAUUGUCCCACAUCUGCAGCCGGAAUGGUGGGAAGCAGAGGAACUUCUGUUUACCUAAGACAAGUGUUGAUUUAUCAGGAAGGUAAGAAAAGUAAACAGCUGUGCUUACUAGAUAGAUAUGGUCAACAUGUAGUAAUUAUUCCAAGUGCCUGCUUAAUUUGGUGUUAUGUGUUUAUUUCGCCCUUCCCUGAUUUAGUGACCUCCAAUACCUUGGGGUUUAUUUCCAGCCCUCGGAUCAUUAGAUGAUAUCAGUGCCAAUGGCACAGUGAGCCCUGUGUGGGUGCUUUCUCUUGGCCAUGGCCAGGGAGCCAUCUGGGUAGUACCUGGGCAUUUGCCCCAUUUGCCCCAUUUCCAUUUUUGUGUGAUCACUUUCUCUGUCUGCUCCUCUAUAUCUCCAUCUCUUUCCAUAACAUUUAAGGUCUAUACCCAGGCUGGGAACACAUAUCCCUCAUGGAGGCAAAGUAUCCACUUUCUGCUACCUCAGACUGAUUCCCACCCUCUCUUGGUAAUUUACUUACUCCUUCAGGGAUUACCCUUUUCUUAAACACCAUUUCAAGGGGAA